rnacentral:rRNA from 1 species
AUUAGAUACCCUGGUAGUCCACGCAGUAAACGAUGAGCACUAAUUGUCCGGUCCGAAUGAGGACUGGGUGAUACAGCGAAAGCGUUAAGUGCUCCACCUGGGGAGUACGCCGGCAACGGUGAAACUCAAAGGAAUUGACGGGGGCCCGCACAAGCGGAGGAACAUGUGGUUUAAUUCGAUGAUACGCGAGGAACCUUACCCGGGCUCAAACGCGGCGUGAAUACUUUUGAAAGGAGGUAGUCAGCAAUGACACGCCGCGAGGUGCUGCAUGGUUGUCGUCAGCUCGUGCCGUGAGGUGUCGGCUUAAGUGCCAUAACGAGCGCAACCCCUACCGUCAGUUGCCAACAGGUAAGGCUGGGGACUCUGACGGGACUGCCGGCGCAAGCUGCGAGGAAGGCGGGGAUGACGUCAAAUCAGCACGGCCCUUACGUCCGGGGCGACACACGUGUUACAAUGGCAGGUACAGCGGGAAGCCACCUGGCGACAGGGAGCGGAACCCGAAAGCCUGUCUCAGUUCGGAUUGGAGUCUGCAACCCGACUCCAUGAAGCUGGAUUCGCUAGUAAUCGCGCAUCAGCCACGGCGCGGUGAAUACGUUCCCGGGCCUUGUACACACCGCCCGUCAAGCCAUGGAAGCCGGGGGUGCCUGAAGUGCGCUGCCGCAAGGAGCGCCCUAGGGUAAAACCGGUGACUGGGGCUAAGUCGUAACAAGGUAACAAGGGCGA